rnacentral:lncRNA from 1 species
AAGUUUCACCUCCGCUGCGGGGGGCCCGGCUUGGUCCCUGUAAGAACCAAGGGGACAACCGCGGAGGCCGCAGAAGGACUAGGCAUGGAUGGCAGCCGGAGAGUCAGAGCCACCACUGUCCUUCCCAGAUACAGCCCGCCAUGCCUAUUUACAGGACACUUGAGCACCAAGAGCAAUGCUUUUUGCACUGACUCCUCUUCUCUCAGACUAACCACUCUCCAGCUGAUCAAGAAUCACAUGGCUGUUCACUAUAAUAAAAUCCUUUCAGCCAAAGCCGCGGUGGAUUGCUCAAUUCCAGUAAGUGUGAAUGCUAGCAUCAAAUAUGCUGACCAACAACGAAGAGAGAAACUGAGGAAGGAGUUGGCACGAUGUGAAAAGGAGUUUAAAUUAAGUAAAUCUGCGAUGCAGACCAAUUCUAAGAUGAAUUCCAAGUUCUUUGUAAACUCUCUACAGAGGAAUUCUAAAAUGAUGUAAAAUUUCCACUGCAAACAUGGGCAGGAAGUUAGGUCCCUAAGGCCUGCAGUCUCCACUGAGUGCCAGGGUUCAAGAUGGGCAAGUCACCAGUUAGAGAACAGCAUUGAGGGUGCCCGUGCUCUCACCCCUCAGGGGAACCACAAGACCAGGAUGUGUUAAUUGAAGAAAGAUUGACAAGAUACCCAUCAUUUUCAAAGUCACUCAUCCCUUCGCCAGAGGGACUACAUCUAAGUCUACCUGAGUCAAAUAAAAUCCUCAUG